UGCCCCAUGGCUGAGUUGGUUACAGCGUCCGACUGUUAAAAUAAGUAUUGAGGCUCGAACUCAUGCUUACGUAAUAUCGGAAGGUCGUGAGUUCGAGCCUCACUGGGGCAG